GAUGAACGCUGGCGGCGUGCCUAAUACAUGCAAGUCGAGCGAACGGACGAGAAGCUUGCUUCUCUGAUGUUAGCGGCGGACGGGUGAGUAACACGUGGAUAACCUACCUAUAAGACUGGGAUAACUUCGGGAAACCGGAGCUAAUACCGGAUAAUAUUUUGAACCGCAUGGUUCAAAAGUGAAAGACGGUCUUGCUGUCACUUAUAGAUGGAUCCGCGCUGCAUUAGCUAGUUGGUAAGGUAACGGCUUACCAAGGCAACGAUGCAUAGCCGACCUGAGAGGGUGAUCGGCCACACUGGAACUGAGACACGGUCCAGACUCCUACGGGAGGCAGCAGUAGGGAACCUUCCGCAAUGGGCGAAAGCCUGACGGAGCAACGCCGCGUGAGUGAUGAAGGUCUUCGGAUCGUAAAACUCUGUUAUUAGGGAAGAACAUAUGUGUAAGUAACUGUGCACAUCUUGACGGUACCUAAGCAGAAAGCCACGGCUAACUACGU
rnacentral:rRNA from 1 species